AGAAAGUCGUNACAAGGUCUCNGUAGGUGAACCUGCGGAGGGAUCAUUACACAAAUAUGAAGGCGGGCUGGAACCUCUCGGGGUUACAGCCUUGCUGAAUUAUUCACCCUUGUCUUUUGCGUACUUCUUGUUUCCUUGGUGGGUUCGCCCACCACUAGGACAAACAUAAACCUUUUGUAAUUGCAAUCAGCGUCAGUAACAAAUUAAUAAUUACAACUUUCAACAACGGAUCUCUUGGUUCUGGCAUCGAUGAAGAACGCAGCGAAAUGCGAUAAGUAGUGUGAAUUGCAGAAUUCAGUGAAUCAUCGAAUCUUUGAACGCACAUUGCGCCCUUUGGUAUUCCAAAGGGCAUGCCUGUUCGAGCGUCAUUUGUACCCUCAAGCUUUGCUUGGUGUUGGGCGUCUUGUCUCUAGCUUUGCUGGAGACUCGCCUUAAAGUAAUUGGCAGCCGGCCUACUGGUUUCGGAGCGCAGCACAAGUCGCACUCUCUAUCAGCAAAGGUCUAGCAUCCAUUAAGCCUUUUUUUCAACUUUUGACCUCGGAUCAGGUAGGGAUACCCGCUGAACUUAAGCAUAUCNAUAGCGA
rnacentral:rRNA from 1 species